ensembl:lncRNA
CCCAACUCUCAGCGGCGUACUCUUCCCAACGAGGAUCUUGACCUGACGCCGUGUCUUGGUGGGAAAAACAGAUUCGUUACGUCGCCGCGACGCUGUUCCUAACACUCGCGCACGUCGGAUAGAUUUACGCGCGUUUUCAUACUCGAGGAAAAGUGGACCGGAGUCGGGUUCCGGCGAGAUCGUACACACGUCGGAGCAAGGACACGGGUUUAAAAAGAAAGUGGGUGUGACAGAUCGAAACAGAAGGAUGGAAGAGGAUGGAAAGAAGUAGAGAUAGAGAGAUGGAAGAAGGUAGGAAGAACUGACGGGAAGAGAGAAGGAACGAUGGAUAAAAAGAAAGGAAGAAGGGCAGAUGUACAAAAUGAAGAACGGAAGGAUGAGGAAAAGGAGGACUGGAAUACGGAGGCAGGACGGACGAAGUGGGGGGUGGGGGUGGGUGGGGGGGGACGGAUGGAAGGAAGGACACAAAAGGAAGAGUGGGAAAAGAAAGAAAACGAUGGAAGGAGCGCCAGGAAGAAGGGAGAUCAAAAGCGUGAAUGAGUGGAAUGGAGCGAGGGGAAUAAAGAAGGAAGGAAGGAAGAAAAAGGAAAUAAGGAAGGAAGGAGGGAAGGAAAGAAGGCGAGAAGGAAGGAAGGAAGGAAGGAAGGAAAGAAGGAAAGAAGGAAAGAAGGCGAGAGGUAAGGAAGGAAGGAAGGAAGGAAGGAAGAAAAAGGAAAUAAGGAAGGAAGGAAAGAAGGCGAGAAGGAAGGAAGGAAGGAAGGAAGGAAGGAAAGAAGGAAGGAAGGAAAGAAGGAAGGAAGGAAAGAAGGCGAGAAGGAAGGAAGGAAGGAAGGAAGGAAGGAAGGACAGAAGGAAAGAAGGAAAGAAGGAAGGAAAGAAGGAAGGAAGGAAGGAAGGAAAGAAGGAAGGAAGGAAGGAAAGAAGGAAGGAAGGAAAGAAGGAAGGAAAGAAGGAAGGAAAGAAGGCGAGAAGGAAGGAAGGAAGGGCAUACAGACCGAAUGAUAGAAUGAAAGAUAUAAGGAAGGACGGAUUGAAGAAAGCAGCAGAAGGAAGAAUUGAAUGGAUGAAAGGAAUGGCAGAAGGAAGGAGGAAGAGUGAGAAGAAUGCAGGAAGAAGAACUGAGAGUAAAGAAGAAAUGAAAAGACGGAUAGGAAAGCGAAUGUUAGUAAAAAGAAAGAACUGAACAAUUCUGCCACGGUUACAGCUGUAUCUCUCCUUCCUGUUUUCUUUCCUUUCUCUCGCCUCGUCUUUCUCUAUUGUUCUCUGUUUAUCCUGUCUUCUUUCUCUCCUCUUUUCCUGCAUU